rnacentral:rRNA from 1 species
GUAAAGUACUUUCAGUCGUGAGGAAGGCGGCGUCGUUAAUAGCGGCGUUGUUUUGACGUUAGCGACAGAAGAAAGCACCGGCUAACUCCGUGCCAGCAGCCGCGGUAAUACGGAGGGUGCGAGCGUUAAUCGGAAUUACUGGGCGUAAAGCGCAUGCAGGUGGUUUGUUAAGUCAGAUGUGAAAGACCCGGGGCGUCAACCUCGGAAUUGCAUUUGUAAACUAGGCAGACUAGAGUACUGUAGAGGGGGGUAGGAAUUUCUAGGUGUAGCGGUGAAAUAGCGUAGAGAUCUGAAGGAAUACCGGUGGCGAAGGCGGCCCCCUCGGACAGAUACUGACACUCAGAUGCGAAAGCGUGGGGAGCAAACAGGAUUAGAUACCCUGGUAG